rnacentral:rRNA from 1 species
ACUCAAUAGAUACCCUGGUAGUCCACGCCCUAAACGAUGGAUACUAGGCGUAAGGGGUAUCGACCCCCUUGUGCCGCAGCUAAACGCACUAAGUAUCCCGCCUGGGGAGUACGGCCGCAAGGUUGAAACUCAAAUGAAUUGACGGGGACCCGGCACAAGCGGUGGAGCAUGUGGAUUAAUUCGAUACUAACCGAAGAACCUUACCCAGACUUGACAUCGAUCGCAAGGCCGAGAAAUCGGUCCCUCCCCCUCAAGGGGACGUGAAGACACUUGUUGCAUGGCUGUCGUCAGCUCGUGCCGUGAGGUGUACGGUUAAGUCCGCCAACGAGCGCAACCCACGUCCUGUGUUACCAGCGAGAGAGUCGGGCACUCACAGGAGACCGCCGGUGUAAGCCGGAGGAAGGUGUGGAUGACGUCAAGUCAGCAUGGCAGUUACGUCUGGGGCUUCACACAUGCUAC